GGAGAGGGCUAGCGUUAUUCGGAAUUAUUGGUCGUAAAGGGCGCGUAGGCGGAUUAGUAAGUUAAAAGUGGAAUCCCAAGGCUCAACCUUGGAAUUGCUUUUAAAACUGCUAAUCUAGAGAUUGAAAGAGGAUAGAGGAAUUCCUAGUGUAGAGGUGAAAUUCGUAAAUAUUAGGAGGAACACCAGUGGCGAAGGCGUCUAUCUGGUUCAAAUCUGACGCUGAGGCGCGAAGGCGUGGGGAGCAAACAGGAUUAGAUACCCUGGUAGUCCACGCUGUAAACGAUGAAUGUUAAAUAUGGGGAGUUUACUUUCUGUAUUACAGCUAACGCGUUAAACAUUCCGCCUGGGGACUACGGUCGCAAGAUUAAAACUCAAAGGAAUUGACGGGGACCCGCACAAGCGGUGGAGCAUGUGGUUUAAUUCGAUGCAACGCGAAAAACCUUACCACUCCUUGACAUGGAAAUUAUACCUAUUCGAAGGGAUAGGGUCGGUUCGGCCGGGUUUCACACAGGUGU
rnacentral:rRNA from 1 species